rnacentral:rRNA from 1 species
GGUUUCCUACGGGAGGCAGCAGUGGGGAAUAUUGCACAAUGGGGGAAACCCUGAUGCAGCAACGCCGCGUGAAGGAAGACGGUUUUCGGAUUGUAAACUUCUUUUCUUAGUGAAGAAGCAAGCGACGGUAGCUAAGGAAUAAGCAUCGGCUAACUACGUGCCAGCAGCCGCGGUAAUACGUAGGAUGCGAGCGUUAUCCGGAAUUACUGGGUGCAAAGGGAGCGCAGGCGGGACUGCAAGUUGGAUGUGAGAUACCGCAGCUUAACUGCGGAGCUGCAUCCAAAACUGUAGUUAUUGAGGGGCGU